rnacentral:rRNA from 1 species
UGGAGACUGCCGGUGGUCAAACCGGAGGAAGGUGGGGAGUGACGUCAAGUCCUCAUGGCCCUUAUGACCAGGGCUACACACGUGCUACAAUGGCCGGUACAAAGAGUUGCGAUACCGCGAGGUGGAGCUAAUCUCAUAAAGCCGGUCUCAGUUCGGAUUGGAGUCUGCAACUCGACUCCAUGAAGUUGGAAUCGCUAGUAAUCGCGGAUCAGCACGCCGCGGUGAAUACGUUCCCGGGCCUU